CCUUGGACUUUAUUCUGUAUGUAAUACAAGAGACAGAAUGUCUUUGAAAUGAGACCACUGCGGUAAAUUCCACGGAGGGCAGCCGUUUAUAGGGUCCUGUAUGGUGGAGCCAUGACACUGGAGUAUGUGCGUGCGUGCACUCUAUGUGAAGCCACGUGCCAGCCUCUGGAAGACAGGGACUUAGGACGUGUCAGGUCCUGCUCGACUGUGGAGAUCACGGAGCCUGACGGAGAUUCCGCCACGCCGCCACGCCGCGUGGAUGAAGGAGGCAGUGACCCCUGCAUCAUCACUCGGUUUGUGAGGGCGACCUGACGAGGCGGUCGGGAAGCAUCCCGUGGGCACAGAAAUGCUCGAGAUACAAGAGCGACAAGAAGACCCUUGUCUGGGCACCUGGACAAGUUCUCAUGGGGCUUCCUUUUCUUAGGAAUAGCAAAUGAAGUUGCAGUAUAAAAACAUUCUUAUUAUGGGCAUACAGCUAUUAAAAUCCCACUGAAAGGGCUCCCGUUUACUCUGAUGUCGUCAUUUGUUGUGGCGUCCAGGCAAUGAGGCUGGAAGAAUUGUUUGCACACGAAGUUUACGCCCUGAGUCGUAUUUCUUCCCUCUCCUUCCACCUCGGCCUCCUCCCUGCAGCGGCUCUUCCCCCGGACUCCGCUGUCUCCUCAGACCCUCCCCACCAGGCUCCGUCCGAGGAGUGUCUGCUCCUCACCAGCCAGGACGGGCCACCGGCAUGCAGCCCAGACAGGUUUUUAUCUGAACUACGUUACACUGUAAACGGCAAGCUCCGGCAAUCCGCUCACAAACUCAGUCAUGUUCCGUUGGCCGUCAGGCCCUGUUGUGCAUCAGAAUGUGGACGUGUGGGGCUGGGCGGAGGUGCGGGGCUGCUGGCGGGCGUGGGAGCAGGUCCGGAGCUUUCACGGCCUCUGCUAUCCGACUCCCGUGGUGUGCCUUACCCUCCCCCAACCAGCCCCUUGGUCUUCUCCGACCUGUUUCCGGCGGUCCUGGCACUCAGCACGCUCCAGGAUCUUCUCUGCCCCAUUCCAAAUGCCAUCACCUUCAUGACAAUCUUGUGCUAUGGACUGAAGGCCGUGUCCCCCCAGACUUACAUGUUUAAACUUCUCCCCCAAGGUGAAGGUGUCAGGA